AUUGAACGCUGGCGGCAUGCCUUACACAUGCAAGUCGAACGCGAAAGUGGGGGCAACCCUGUGAGUAGAGUGGCGAACGGGUGAGUAACACAUCGGAACGUACCCAGGAGUGGGGGACAACCUCGAGAAAUCGAGGCUAAUACCGCAUACGUCCUGAGGGAGAAAGCGGGGGAUUCGCAAGGACCUCGCGCUCAUGGAGCGGCCGAUGUCGGAUUAGCUAGUUGGCGGGGUAAAAGCCCACCAAGGCUACGAUCCGUAGCUGGUUUGAGAGAACGACCAGCCACACUGGGACUGAGACACGGCCCAGACUCCUACGGGAGGCAGCAGUGGGGAAUUUUGGACAAUGGGGGAAACCCUGAUCCAGCCAUGCCGCGUGAGUGAAGAAGGCCUUCGGGUUGUAAAGCUCUUUCGGCCGGAACGAAAUCGCGUACGUGAAUAACGUGCGUG
rnacentral:rRNA from 1 species